rnacentral:lncRNA from 1 species
GGAAGAGCAAAUGACUUGAUUUUUUAACAGUAAAAAGAGCAGAGCAGAGCAUAAUAUCAUUGGUGUAUGCUAAGACAAUGUAAGAAAACAAAGAAGUACUUGGCACAGAAAUAAAACAAAAUAGAUCACUCACUACUAGCUUAUAGUUUCUGACAGAGAGAAAACAACAAAAUUAAACAAUAAUAAAAAUAGUAAUGGACCUAAAGAUUGUUACACAAAGAAGGAGUGAUUUUGAGUUUUUGUGUGUGAUGAGUAAUGAGUGAUGAUGACAGUUGAGAAACCCUCUUCUUCUUCCUCCUCAUGGGGAUCUGAGUUUCUGAUUACAAAAUCUCUGAUCUUCUACUGAAGAUCUUCUUCCCAGCCAAUAGAAAAGGAAAUGGGAAACUAGCAUUACUCACACUAUCUAAAAUCUUCUCCAAUUGGGACCACUCCUCAAUUUAUUUAUUUUUACCCUUCUCUCUCGGAGCUUCCACUUUUUUUGUUUCCUCGGUAACUCAAAUCCAUAACUUUAAGAUUAGAGGUGACAAUCUCCUCUUGUUCGAUUGAAACAAACC